AAUCAACGCUGGCGGCGUGCCUCAGACAUGCAAGUCGAACGAGAACCUCCCUUCGGGGAGGGGACAGUGGCGCACGGGUGAGUAACACGUGGGUAAUUUACCUUUGGGUGGGGAACAACAGCCGGAAACGGCUGCUAAUACCGCAUAAUGCAGCGGCUCGACAUCGAGACAGUUGUUAAAGCGGGGGAUCGCAAGACCUCGCGCCUGAAGAGAAGCCUGCGGCGGAUUAGCAGUUGGUAGGGUAAUGGCCUACCAAGGCGACGAUCUGUAACCGGCCUGAGAGGGCGGUCGGUCACACUGACACUGACAUACGGGUCAGACUCCUACGGGAGGCAGCAGUCGGGAAUUUUGGGCAAGUGGGCGAAAGCCUGACCCAGCAACGCCGCGUGAAGGAUGAAG
rnacentral:rRNA from 1 species